rnacentral:rRNA from 1 species
CAAUAAGCGGAGGAAAAGAAACUAACAAGAAUUCCCCUAGUAACGGCGAGUGAAGCGGGAAAAGCUCAAAUUUGAAAUCUGGCAGCCUCAGGUUGUCCGAGUUGUAAUCUAUAGAAACGUUUUCCGCGCCGGCCCAUGUACAAGUCCCUUGGAACAGGGCGUCAUAGAGGGUGAGAAUCCCGUCCUUGACACGGACCACCGGUGCUUUGUGAUACGUUUUCAACGAGUCGAGUUGUUUGGGAAUGCAGCUCAAAAUGGGUGGUAAAUUCCAUCUAAAGCUAAAUAUUGGCGAGAGACCGAUAGCGAACAAGUACCGUGAGGGAAAGAUGAAAAGCACUUUGGAAAGAGAGUUAAACAGUAUGUGAAAUUGUUGAAAGGGAAACGAUUGAAGUCAGUCGUGUCUAUUGGACUCAGCCGGUUCUGCCGGUGUACUUCCUUUAGAUGGGGUCAACAUCAGUUUUGAUCGCUGGAAAAGGGCGGGAGGAAUGUAGCACUCUCGGGUGAACUUAUAGCCUUCCGUCGUAUACAGUGGUUGGGACUGAGGAACGCAGCAUGCCUUUAUGGCCGGGGUUCGCCCACGAACAUGCUAGGAU